CGCGUCUGACGUGAGCUACGCGACGUGCAUGCCAUCCACGUGCACGGGUCUUGAACUUCAGGAGAGUGCGUCUCAGCAGUUAUCGGUCUUGUCCUUCACUCUUACGAACGUGCAGUGUCAACAGCAAGACGAAGUGCUGGAAUCCUAUACCUGGGAGAUUGUUGGAUCGUGUGUGAUUAUUGCGAUGGUGCUGCCGGUGGUGAUAGCCACAG
rnacentral:lncRNA from 1 species